rnacentral:rRNA from 1 species
GACGAACGCUGGCGGCGUGCUUAACACAUGCAAGUCGAACGGUGACGAGGAGCUUGCUCCUCCGAUCAGUGGCGAACGGGUGAGUAACACGUGAGCAACCUGCCCCAGACUCUGGGAUAACAGUUGGAAACAGCUGCUAAUACCGGAUACGAGACGGAGAGGCAUCUCUACCGUCUGGAAAGUUUUUCGGUCUGGGAUGGACUCGCGGCCUAUCAGCUAGUUGGUGAGGUAAUGGCUCACCAAGGCGACGACGGGUAGCCGGCCUGAGAGGGCGACCGGCCACACUGGGACUGAGACACGGCCCAGACUCCUACGGGAGGCAGCAGUGGGGAAUAUUGCACAAUGGGCGAAAGCCUGAUGCAGCGACGCCGCGUGAGGGAUGACGGCC